rnacentral:rRNA from 1 species
AUUGAACGCUGGCGGCAGGCCUAACACAUGCAAGUCGAGCGGAUGAAGGGAGCUUGCUCCUGGAUUCAGCGGCGGACGGGUGAGUAGUGCCUAGGAAUCUGCCUGGUAGUGGGGGACAACGUUUCGAAAGGAACGCUAAUACCGCAUACGUCCUACGGGAGAAAGCAGGGGACCUUCGGGCCUUGCGCUAUCAGAUGAGCCUAGGUCGGAUUAGCUAGUUGGUGAGGUAAUGGCUCACCAAGGCGACGAUCCGUAACUGGUCUGAGAGGAUGAUCAGUCACACUGGAACUGAGACACGGUCCAGACUCCUACGGGAGUCAGCAGUGGGGAAUAUUGGACAAUGGGCGAAAGCCUGAUCCAGCCAUGCCGCGUGUGUGAAGAAGGUCUUCGGAUUGUAAAGCACUUUAAGUUGGGAGGAAGGGUUGUAGAUUAAUACUCUGCAAUUUUGGCGUUACCGACAGAAUAAGCACCGGCUAACUCUGUGCCAGCCGCCGCCGUAAUAC